UACGUAGGAGGCGAGCGUUAUUCGGAUUUACUGGGCGUAAAGAGGGCGUAGGCGGCCUAAUAAGUCGGAUGUGAAAUCUCCUGGCUUAACUGGGAGGGGUCAUCCGAUACUGUUGGGCUUGAGGGCAGCAGGGGAAAGCGGAAUUCCCGGUGUAGUGGUGAAAUGCGUAGAUAUCGGGAGGAACACCAGUGGCGAAGGCGGCUUUCUAGGCUGUUUCUGACGCUGAGGCCUGAAAGUGUGGGGAGCGAACAGG
rnacentral:rRNA from 1 species